AUUGAACGCUGGCGGCAUGCCUUACACAUGCAAGUCGAACGGUAACGGGCCUUCGGGUGCCGACGAGUGACGAACGGGUGAGUAAUACAUCGGAACGUGCCCGAUCGUGGGGGAUAACGAGGCGAAAGCUUUGCUAAUACCGCAUACGAUCUACGGAUGAAAGCAGGGGACCGCAAGGCCUUGCGCGGACGGAGCGGCCGAUGGCAGAUUAGGUAGUUGGUGGGAUAAAAGCUUACCAAGCCGACGAUCCGUAGCUGGUCUGAGAGGAUGAUCAGCCACACUGGGACUGAGACACGGCCCAGACUCCUACGGGAGGCAGCAGUGGGGAAUUUUGGACAAUGGGCGCAAGCCUGAUCCAGCCAUGCCGCGUGCAGGAUGAAGGCCUUCGGGUUGUAAACUGCUUUUGUACGGAACGAAAAGCCUUCUUUUAAUACAGGAGGGUCAUGACGGUACCGUAAGAAUAAGCACCGGCUAACUACGUG
rnacentral:rRNA from 1 species